rnacentral:rRNA from 1 species
GACAGAGGGUGCAAACGUUGUUCGGAAUUACUGGGCGUAAAGGGCGCGUAGGCGGCCUUGUAAGUCCUGUGUGAAAUCCCCCGGCUCAACUGGGGAACUGCACAGGAGACUGCUUGGCUUGAGUUCGGGAGAGGGAAGCGGAAUUCCGGGUGUAGCGGUGAAAUGCGUAGAUAUCCGGAGGAACACCGGUGGCGAAGGCGGCUUCCUGGACCGACACUGACGCUGAGGCGCGAAAGCCAGGGGAGCAAACGGG